GAUGAACGCUGGCGGCGUGCCUAAUACAUGCAAGUCGAGCGAACAGACGAGGAGCUUGCUCCUCUGACGUUAGCGGCGGACGGGUGAGUAACACGUGGAUAACCUACCUAUAAGACUGGGAUAACUUCGGGAAACCGGAGCUAAUACCGGAUAAUAUAUUGAACCGCAUGGUUCAAUAGUGAAAGACGGUUUUGCUGUCACUUAUAGAUGGAUCCGCGCCGCAUUAGCUAGUUGGUAAGGUAACGGCUUACCAAGGCAACGAUGCGUAGCCGACCUGAGAGGGUGAUCGGCCACACUGGAACUGAGACGCGGUCCAGGCUCCUACGGGAGGCAGCAGUAGGGAAUCUUCCGAAAUGGGCGAAAGCUUGACGGAGCAACGCCGCGUGAGUGAUGAAGGUCUUCGGAUCGUAAAACUCUGUUAUUAGGGAAGAACAAAUGUGUAAGUACUAUGCACGUCUUGACGGUACCUAAUCAGAAAGCCACGGCUAACUACGUG
rnacentral:rRNA from 1 species